rnacentral:pre_miRNA from 1 species
ACAGUACUCCCUCCGUCUCAAAAUUCUUGUCUUAGAAUUGUCUAGAUACGGAUGUAUCUAAUACUAAAACGUGACUUGAUACAUCCGUAUUUAGACAAAUUUAAGACAAGAAUUUUGAGACGGAGAGAGUACUUC